ensembl:lncRNA
CUGAACACAGGCAACCGCAGAAGGUGACUCUGAACACAGGCAACCGCAGAAGGUGACUCUGAACACAGGCAACCGCAGAAGGUGACUCUGAACACAAGCGACUGAACCCUACUGUCCAUUCAGAAACCCUGCUCUUCUCUCAACCAAUAAGAUUGUCCGCUCAGACUGCCCAUUCAUAAAGAAACACGCGCCGAGUUACAGUAUAUACAUUCACUUUCCCCCCCCAUCUCCUCGUGCUCGGAGUUCAUUCAUGUCUUCUGCCACUGGGCAAAAGGAGUGGAAUGUACCAUUUACCUCAAUUUAUAGAGGAGACAACAUGACAGAGGACGGGGAGGAAGCUAUACAACAUUCCUAUUCUCUACUACAUACAGUAUCAACCCAACAGAACAUGUCAAUGACUGUAUAGAACCAAUAAAACAGACAUUAGCAACACCAUGACUGAUAUCCUAAUGAAAAGAAAAUAUUACUCUUGCCCUAUACUGUGCCCUUCACAGCUUAUUUAAAUAACUCACAAUUGGAGACAGCAUACGAGCUCUGUCAUACUUCUGUAUCCUUUUAAUUCUAUCAAUGUACAAGCUAUACACGCUAUUACACUCUAUGACUAUGUAACAUCUAUGUAACUGUUAUAUAACAGCUAUCAAACAGUGAAUCAGCUAUGUAACAGUGAAUCAGCUAUGUAACAGCUGUGUAACAGCUGUGUAACAGCUAUGUAACAGCUAUGUAACAGUGAAUCAGCUGUAUAACAGCUAUGUAACAGUGAAUCAGCUAUGUAACAGUGAAUCAGCUAUGUAACAGUGAAUCAGCUAUGUAACAGUGAAUCAGCUAGGUAACAGUGAAUCAGCUAUGUAACAGCUAUGUAACAGUGAAUCAGCUAUGUAACAGUGAAUCAGCUAUGUAACAGUGAAUCAGCUAGGUAACAGUGAAUCAGCUAUGUAACAGUGAAUCAGCUAUGUAACAGUGAAUCAGCUAUGUAACAGUGAAU